AAGUAAAAUAAUGAAAACAUAACUCUUUAAAGUUCUAAAAACAUCAGCGUUCCUCUUUUCUUCCGUUCUUCUUCCUCUGUCAUCUAAAAACCUAAACAAAACUUUAUACAGUCUGCGCUUAUCUCAAAUUCUAAACCUUAACAGCAAAAUUGUUGGGAAAAUAUUCAACUUGGCCUCAAUUAUUGAAUCAGUUUUGGUGGGCAAUUUUGCUGCCACUUUGGUCGAGUGUAGUGAAGCAAUCAUUGACGGUGGAACAAGCAAUUUUGUUACAUGUCGACGGCGUAAACGGAACAAAGGGCGGCGAUUAUGGCGACGAGGUGUCGGCGGCUUAGGAGAGAGUGAAAGAGGAGGACCUCUGUAACACAUCCUGUCAUCUGGGUACAAUGGAGGACCUCCACUGCCUAGGAAGCUGAUUUCUUAGGGUUGCUAUUAACAAAAAGUUCAACGUUGAAGUUUAUCCUCUAUCCCUAAAGCUAACAGAUUCCAGGGACAAUCGUCAAUCUGAAGUGUCAAUAAGAAGUGGUCUCAGAAUGUUGGUAUGCUUUUCAGUAUUGAUUUACCCCAAUUAUCGGUUACAUGAUUGAUGGCCCUUAUGGAGUAUUUGGCUUCUAUACUUGAGCUUUAUGAGAAAGUGCGUGCACUUAAAGGGCUGCCACAAGAGAAGUUCCAAGUAUGGGACUACUUCAAUGAGAGGAAGCAAUGUAUAUUAAUUCCAUCAGACAAGACUUUGGAGGAUGCUUACCUUCAAAUGGACCAACAUGUUAUUAGUGCUUUCUUUCUCUACUUUUUUUUUUUUUCCUAAAAGGCUUUCUUUCUCUACUUUGUACAACCUAAUAAUAGGAAUGAUAUAUAUUUUACCCAAAAAAAUAGGAAUUAUGUAUAAUUUUUUUUUUUUAUUUUGUUAACAAAUUUUGUGGCAUAUUAUUUUUGGUGAUUAGUUACAAUAAAAUAAAGUUCUGAUAUUAUCUCGCACGCAUCGCGUGCAUAUAAGACU